CCCCCUCCACCAUGUACAACAUCCCUUCGCCGCCGCCCCGUCUCUGAUCUCCCUGCCGCCGACCCUUGCCGCCGCCCUGUCUCCGAUCUCCCUGCCACUGACCCUUGUUGCCGCCCCGUCUUUGAUCCCAAGGAAAUCAUGCCCCUGCCCCUCUCCCUCUCGUGGUCUCGCAGCUCUCUCCUCUCGAACACAACUCUAGGGUUCCAUCGCCGCCAGGACGCCUACGGGAUCCAGAGAAGGAUCAAGACAGUGGCGACGGUCGCAAGGCUCCCCUUCAAGUCGAGCAAAACCUACCCCCUCCCGGUCCUCUCGUUCAUCUCUCUCUUUUGAAACGUCGGCGGCGGGUGGUGGCAUCAUUGGCGGCGGCGGCAAAUCAGGUAGAAUCCAUCCCUCUCUCCCUAAGCAUGAUGUUCUCGUCGUCUCUCUAGCGCUACAAAACCACAGGGGGCGGCGACCUGAGGGCGUGGGCUUCUGUGCGCUGGGGUGGUUUUGCGGCGGUGGCCGGAGGAGGCAUAUGACUGGCGGGCUGAAGUCACGGCGUGAUGCGGUGAUGGCGUCGGCGAUGCCGAUGUCUGGAUCUCACAUGGUAACAGCUUGGGGAGGUCAUCCAGCUCGGGCGUGUAGCAAAAACCGGCCGGUGCUAGCUUCUGUGUCUUAUGUCGAAAUUUCACGGCAACCAGGAGUAACAAUAUUUUUGAUUAAUUGGGGAUACGGUGAUGUUCAGGUGACAUGGAACAUGCUGAGAUUUGGACUUCAAUCCUUGAUUGUGCACGGCUACCAACGCUUGAUCGGGACCUCUCCCAAGACAACGGAUACACUGUUUGGAAAGGAUCGUGAAAGUGACAUGUGUCAUGGUGAGGCCAGUUUCCAUUCCGCAUGUUGCCUUAUUUUCUUCUAUAUCCGCAAUUUGCUUCCAUGUUCUAUAUUUUUGUGAGGAAAUUUUAAAUCAUUUUGUAUUCUCGUCAAUGUUGAUCUAUGGCAAGAGUCUGGUUCAUCGCAACAUCGGUGUUGUUUGGUUCUUCUUUUCUCCAAGCAUGGUUCUGGCUCGGCAGUGGUAGUAGUUGUGGCUAUGGAGAUCAAGAACAAUGGGAAUGAAUGGUGUGACAUCGGUGAUGAUGUAGCUAAAGGAGAGGGUAAACAGACAUGAUGUGUUUCUGACUAAUGGGCUGCAGGGUUGGCAUAAGGGAACUAUUGUUAUGCCUUGUGAGGUCCGACGACGGUGACCGGAUGACUUGAGCAAAGCUGUGAAAAAAUCAGUUUUUUUUUCCAGAAACAUAAAACAGUGACAUACAAUAUAAUGCAUCAGCGGAAGAGGAGGAGGAGGCAUAUGAAGCUGAGAGAGGUGACGGGGAGCACAAGAAACUGCUCCCGCUGCAAGAGAGGGAGCCAUGCCAAUAGUCAGUUGUGGGCUUGUGGCGCUGGUCGCGACCGCCGCAUCACCAACCAUGAUCGUCCAGGCUGUGGCAUGGGGGUCAUGCUUGCUGCUUGCGCGGCGAUUCCCCCAUCGUGAUGAUAAGGCGACUCGCGACUCCCCAGCCCCGAUGAUAAGGCUUCAUCCAUUCAAUUUUGACUCUGUAGACAACUAGCUUUUGGUAAGUGCAGCAUGCUCAAGUUUACUUUGUAGCUAUUUUCGUGUUCUGCAUUUUAGUGGUACAAGAUUGUGUUGCUCAAUCUUGGCCUAGAGGUGCUCCCAUUUUAGGCCAAACACAUUUUAUUCUGAAACCAUUGCAUCGUUUGCUGAAAUGCUUCAAGGUGGUUUUACUAUGACAGUAUAACCAUGCUUGUAAUGCCAGCGUGGCUUGAGAGGUCGGCUAAUUCAGUAGGCUUAUUCAAUGGCGAAUAGGUCCAUGUAUUAGAUAGGAUCAACAAGAGUUGGCUGGCAGCUGCUAUGUAUAUGUUAUGGAUCAGAGGCAGUUAAUCUGUCUUUGCCCCCCUUUUUUUAAUUCAAGCCCUUAAGAUUAUGCUCUUAAAUGCAUACACAUGACUUACUUCCAGAUUUAACAAGACUGCAUUCUACAAUGAGCUAUAUAGCUGAUGUUGAUCAUAAUCAGUAUGUGUACAGAGCAGUUUUAAGAUUUCCUGUUUUCUUGAUAUUGAAUACCAAUUGCGCACUAUGUGUAUUUGUAGCAUAUUGCAGACUUGCAGUGAAGUAGUGCCUGCUAUACAUGAGAUGUACCUUAUUUUUAGAUAACUUUUCUUAAAAUUAAAAAUACUAAAUGCACAUGUUUCUAUCAAUUUAUUGGUACUCGAUGACUUCCUUAUCCAGGUUGUGAUUUGCUAUACAAUUUCAUACAUGUUAGAAGGUACAUAUGAGAUAGAGUAAAGUUGAUUAUAUAUGGGAUAUAGUCUAGAAAAUUAUAAGGCGUCAUAUGCAAGUUGUCUGAAAAAUCUUAGGAAUGCAUUGACUUUGGCCGAACACGGGGCAAGAAAUGAACGUGAUGCCUGAUAGUUAUCGUCGUUGCACCUUUGCAUCUGCUUCUAUUUUGUUGCAAUAUCCUGCAUUGAAUGAGGGCUGUUACCAUGCACAUGUUUGCGAUGCAGGUUCCAACACUACCACAAAGCUUGGUUAAGCCAUGGGUCACUUAUUGAUAAAUGUAGUUGAAGUCUAUUAUUUUGCAAAAUGAAAUAUAUAUUCUUGGUUUAAUGAUUUAGUACAUAUUGUUUCAAAACUGCUUACGUUGAUUUUUGUGCUAAGGUUGAGAUAACUAGGUAAUUAUCUAGCCAUGUCAGUAACAUAAUGUGCCUUGAGUAUUCAAACGUGAUAAUACAAAUUUCGCAACUUGAUAUUUAAUUCUUGCAAGGAAUAAUGUUGUUUGCACGAUUAACGAGAUACUUGAGUCACUUCACAAAAUGUUACUCCCUCCGUUCAAAAUAGAUGACCCAACUUUGUACUAACUUUGAUACAAAGUUGGGUCAUCUAUUUUGGAACGGAGGGAGUACGUCUUUGGAGGCGUUCACAGGGAAGGCUACUGGUGUUGGCAUCGCUGUUGCCAGUUAUAAACUAAAUGAUCUUUAGCGUAAUGGAAUGUUAUCAACUCUUGUGGUGAACACUAAUGACCUUUAGUGUUGCAUAGUGAGUAUGAGAUUGGGCCUCCCGUCUUUGGUAGAAAAUUUGUUCCUGUCCGUCUAAGUUGUAGAGGGUGCAUAUAUUGCUUAUUAUUGGCAUUAAUUGCAUUGUGCUUCCCUUCUUUGGUGGAAAUUCACUUUAUGUCCAUUGCCUAAUUUGUAAAAAAAACGUAGAAUGCUAUUGGCAUAAUUACUUUUCCUCGAGAGCAGAGUUUCUGAAGUGUAUGGAGACGAGAAAGGUAUGUGCUACCAUAUCCUGGUCAUCAAGAGUAAAUAUGUGUGUGUGGUUUUCACGCAAGUCAUUGUUCUGAAGUGUCUUUGCAACUUCAGAUUGUGAUUUUAGUGUUGCUAUUUCUUACAUGUUAGAGGGCACACAUUAUUUUUCACAUUCCAUCUUUGCAAAGGAGUAGUUGUUAUCUACAAUCAGAUAAUGUAAGAAAUGAAAGAUUUGUUUGUCUUAGCAUCAAAAUGUUAAAUAUUAAAAUAUGCAUGACAUCAUAUUCAAUACACAUAUCCGAAUUAUGCCAAAUUUGUUUGAUCAGUGCAAAAUUGCAUAUGCUAUUUUUUUUGUUAUUCCGUGCCAACACAUGUGUGGCGGAUAUAGGCGGUGUGCUAUUUAAUGCAUUGUUAUUUAGUUGGCCGGUAAUAAGUUGUAAAAAGCAUCCUCCUUCAAGAGCCAAAUUUCUGUAAAAUUUAGAGUGAAUAAAUCUUUGUUCUAUAUACAUGUAAUGCUUGUCAGCAACUUUUAGUUUCUUUUACCGGGAGUGUUAGUUUCUUUUACAAUUUAGAAAUGGUUGUUUUUUUAUUUCUUCUCAUGAGAUCAGAGUUCAUUGGUUUGUUUGUUCCUUUUUAUCAGUCAUCUACCAUGGAAUGUUCUAUAUAAGUUUUUUGUCCAAAGAGAUAUUUUCUCUCAUGUGCUUUAAUCAUAUGCACACAUGGUUGCGCGUGCAGUAUUAAAACCAGUCAAUCAUUCCUUUUUAUGAUGAAUUUAAGAGUUCUUAUCUUGAAAGUAGUCUUAAAACAUCUAUUUUCUUUUUAGACUAAAUUUUUUAAUUGUAGGGUCUAUGCCAAUGAUGUGAUGCUUACAUGUUCUAUGAUGUUUUUCCAACACACCGUCCAUGGUUGCUUGACAGGAAACAGAGAAGUGGCCGGAUGGGCAAUCAACUCAUCUGUUGAUUGGAUUGGGGGGUGGCAUGAACAAAGUAAAGGUGAAGAAAGCAGGCUUGGACGCUAGGUGGCGGCACCAACAGGGGAAGUGUCAGGCGUGAACCAAACAUCUAUGGCUUGUUGCUUUGAGUCUUGCCGGUCUAGGCAAGAGACUAGGGUUCGUCGAUCGGCUCGGCUUGACUGCCGUCGCGAGUCCCCGCAAGCGCAGAUCCUUCCUCGACUGCAACCGGGGCAAGCACGAUCCCUAACGUGCGCGAAGGAACGAUCGAGCUCCAUGGCCAAGCGCUGCAUCGGUAUAGAGCCGCAGACUAGAGGUGGUGGUGAACCAUGAGCGCUUCGUGGAUUCAUCGCGUCCUAUGCUGGUCUCGAUGUGGAGGAGGAACACUCACCCAGGAUCGACGUCCAGCAUGAUGAUGAUGACGACAAAUAGUGCCAGAACCUGGGAACAGAUGAGGACGAGCAGAGGGCCAGUAGCAUUGGCCGAACCGACUUACUAAAGGCCGCCUACGAGCCAAUCAAAGCCACCUCCAAGGCCCAAUUAUUGCUCUUCUUCUCCAACUACGAGUGGUCCUCUACAAGUUUUACAUGGAUAUUGGCAGAUAAAUACGUCGUAUAGUGCCCCUGAGUGUCUUGAUUCUCAUCCAUGCUGGAUGCAGUUGUUUGUUUACAUAUAGUAUAUCCAUGUGCCUGUUAAUCUC